AGACUCACUGAUAGUCAAUACGCAUAAAUCUUUCUCCUUUUACAAAAGAUUUCCGUGGAGGGGAACAUAAUGAGUCUUUAAAUAAUUUUUUGUAGCUGCCCAGCUUUCGCCGGGCA